rnacentral:rRNA from 1 species
CGCGUAGGCGGUCCGAUAAGUCCCGUGUGAAAUCCCUCGGCUCAACUGAGGAAUGGCACGGGAAACUGACGGGCUUGAGUUCGGGAGAGGGAAGCGGAAUUCCGGGUGUAGCGGUGAAAUGCGUAGAUAUCCGGAGGAACACCGGUGGCGAAGGCGGCUUCCUGGACCGACACUGACGCUGAGGCGCGAAAGCUAGGGGAGCAAACGG